CCUACGGGAGGCAGCAGUGAGGAAUAUUGGUCAAUGGGCUUACGCCUGAACCAGCCAAGUCGCGUGAGGGAUGACUGCCCUCUGGGUUGUAAACCUCUUUUGUCAGGGAGCACUUGGCGCUACGUGUAGCGUUACCUCGAGUACCUGACGAAACAGCAUCCGCUAACUCCGUGCCAGCCGCCGCUGUAAUACGUAGGAUGCCAGCGUUAUCCGGAUUUAUUGGGUUUAAAGGGUGCGGAGGCGGGAAGCCAAUUCAGCGGGAAAAUCCCGGGGCUCAACCGUGGACCGGCGGUGGAAACUGGAGAACUUGAGUGGACAAGAGGAAUGGGGAAUGCGGGGUGGAGCGGUGAAAUGCGUAGAGAUCAGGAAGAACACCAGUGGCGAAGGCGACAUACCGGUGCGCAACUGACGCUGAAGCGCGAAAGCGUGGGUAUCAAACAGGAUUAGAUACCCCUGGAGUC
rnacentral:rRNA from 1 species